GCUUACGACCACACCACCGGCCUACGCCUGAUCUCGUCUGAUCUCGGAAGCUAAGCAGGGUCGGGCCUGGUUAGUACUUGGAUGGGAGACUUCCUGGGAAUACCAGGUGCUGUCAAGC
ensembl:rRNA 5S_rRNA 5S ribosomal RNA